rnacentral:rRNA from 1 species
UUAAGCUACAAAGAGCGUAGGGAGAAUGCCUAGGUACCAAGAGCCGAAGAAGGACGUGAUAAGCUGCGAAAAGCCACGGGGAGGAGCAAAUAUCCAUCGAGCCGUGGGUGUCCGAAUGAGGGAACUCAUACAGUAAAAAAAGACUGUAUAUCCAUACAUGAGUAAAGUAGUGUAUAGGAAGGGAACGUGGGGAACUGAAACAUCUUAGUACCCAUAGGAAAAGAAAGUAAUAACGAUUCCUGAAGUAGUGGCGAGCGAAACAGGAAGAGCCCAAACCAUAGAUAGUAAUAUUUGUGGGGUUCGGAUUAUCAAUAAAGCCAAGAAUGAUGUUAGUAGAAUUACCAGGGAAGGUAAACCAAAGAAGGUGAAAGUCCUGUAUAUGAAAACAGAGUGAAGGCGAGAUAAAUCCAGAGUAGUGCGAGACACGAGAAAUCUCGUAUGAAAGAGCGGAGACCAUUCCGUAAGGCUAAAUACUACUUGGUAACCGAUAGAGAACAAGUACCGUGAGGGAAAGGUGAAAAGGACCCCGGGAGGGGAGUGAAAGAGAACCUGAAACCCUAUGUUUACAAGCAGAUAGAGCGAUUUAAGGCGCGAUAUCGUACUUUUUGUAGAACGGUCCAGCGAGUUAUUGUAUAUGGCGAGGUUAAGUUCUGAAUAAGGAAUGGAGCCGAAGAGAAAUCGAGUCUGAAUAGGGCGAUAUAAGUCAUAUAUAAUAGACCCGAAACCGGGUGACCUAUCCAUGGUCAGGAUGAAGCUGAAGUAAAAUUCAGUGGAGGUCCGAACUGAUUGUCGUUAAAAAGGCACCGGAUGAACUGUGGAUAGCGGAGAAAUUCCAAUCGAACUCGGAGAUAGCUGGUUCUCCUCGAAAUAGCUUUAGGGCUAGCCUUGAGGUAAAAGAAUUAUGGGGGUAGAGCACUGAAUGAGGUAGGGGCCAAACCAGGUUACUGAACUCUAUCAAACUGCGAAUACCAUAAUUAGAAUACUCAGGAGUCAGACUGCGGGAGCUAAGUUCCGUGGUCAAAAGGGAAAGAGCCCAGACCGACAAUUAAGGUCCCAAAGAUAUAGUUAAGUGGAAAACGAUGUGAAUUUGCAUAAACAACCAGGAUGUUGGCUCAGAAGCAGCCACUCAUUCAAAGAGUGCGUAACAGCUCACUGGUCGAGUGAAUUUGCGCGGAAAAUUACCGGGGCUAAACUAUACACCGAAAUUUCGGAUUUACGUAUGAAAAUAUGUAAGUGGUAGAGGAGCAUUCUGUAGUAGGACGAAGUCAAAGCGAAAGCAUUGGUGGACGAGGCAGAAGAGAGAAUGCUGGAAUAAGUAGCGAGAGCAAGGUGAGAAUCCUUGCCGUCGAAAGUCUAAGGUUUCCUGGGGAAGGUUCGUCCGCCCAGGGUAAGUCGGGGCCUAAGGAGAGGCCGAAAGGCGUAUCUGAUGGAUAGCAGGUGGAGAUUCCUGCACUAUAGCUAGUUUUAAAAGAUGCAAGGGACGCAGUAGAGGAAGAUAACCAAGGAAGAGGAAAGACUUGGUCCGCAAGGGAUAGUGAAAAUUAAUAGUAACGAAAUAUCAAGAAUCACACUGACGAGAAAAGCUUGUAGAUAUUAACUAGAAAUACCCGUACCGCAAACCGACACAGGUAGAUGAGGAGAGGAUCCUAAGACGAGCGGGAGAAGCAUUGUUAAGGAACUCGGCAAAAUAACCCCGUAACUUCGGGAGAAGGGGAACCUAAGUAAAAUUAGGUCGCAGAGAAAAGGCCCAAGCAACUGUUUAACAAAAACACAGGUUUCUGCAAAAUCGAAAGAUGAAGUAUAGGAGCUGACGCCUGCCCAGUGCUGGAAGGUUAAGGGAAAGAGUUAGAUGUAAAUCGAAGCUUAGAACUAAAGCCCCAGUGAACGGCGGCCGUAACUAUAACGGUCCUAAGGUAGCGAAAUUCCUUGUCAGGUAAGUUCUGACCCGC